UGGGGAAUAUUGGACAAUGGGCGAAAGCCUGAUCCAGCCAUGCCGCGUGAGUGAUGAAGGCCCUAGGGUUGUAAAGCUCUUUUAACGGGGAAGAUAAUGACGGUACCCGUAGAAUAAGCCCCGGCUAACUUCGUGCCAGCAGCCGCGGUAAUACGAAGGGGGCUAGCGUUGCUCGGAAUCCCUGGGCGUAAAGCGCACGUAGGCGGACUCUUAAGUCGGUGGUGAAAUCCUGGAGCUCAACUCCAGAACUGCCUUCGAUACUGGGAGUCUCGAGUUCGGGAGAGGUGAGUGGAACUGCGAGUGUAGAGGUUAAAUUCGUAGAUAUUCGCAAGAACACCAGUGGCGAAGGCGGCUCACUGGCCCGAUACUGACGCUGAGGUGCGAAAGCGUGGGGAGCAAACA
rnacentral:rRNA from 1 species